rnacentral:rRNA from 1 species
AGCGAACGCUGGCGGCGUGCUUAACACAUGCAAGUCGCGCGCGAAAGAGGCUUUCGGGUCUUGAGUAGAGCGGCGCACGGGUACGUAAGACGCGGGUGACCUAUCCACGAGGUGGGGAUAACCCUUCGAAAGAGGGGCUAAUACCGGAUGAGCCCACAGGCAGAGAUGCUAGGGGGCAAAGGGUGCGAUUUACUAAGCGCAUCUCUUCGUGGCGGGGCCCACGGCCUAUCAGCUAGUUGGUGUGGUAACGGCACACCAAGGCGAAGACGGGUAGCUGGUCUGAGAGGAUGGCCAGCCACACGGGGACUGAGACACGGCCCAGACUCCUACGGGAGGCAGCAGUGGGGAAUCUUGCGCAAUGGGCGAAAGCCUGACGCAGCGACGCCGCGUGAGGGAUGACGGCCU